rnacentral:rRNA from 1 species
UACGGAGGGGGCUAGCGUUGUUCGGAAUUACUGGGCGUAAAGCGCACGUAGGCGGCCACCGCAAGUCGACUGUGAAAUCUCCGGGCUUAACCCGGAAAGGUCAGCCGAUACUGCGGGGCUAGAGUGCAGAAGGGGCAACUGGAAUUCUCGGUGUAGCGGUGAAAUGCGUAGAUAUCGAGAGGAACACCUGCGGCGAAGGCGGGUUGCUGGGCUGACACUGACGCUGAGGCGCGAAAGCUAGGGGAGCGAACGGG